AGUGGCGGACGGGUGAGUAACGCGUGAGAAUCUGCCUUGGGGUCGGGGACUACCACUGGAAACGGUGGCUAAUACCGGAUAAGCCGAUUGGUGAAAGAUUUAUUGCCCGAAGAGGAGCUCGCGUCUGAUUAGCUAGUUGGUGAGGUAAGAGCUCACCAAGGCAGCGAUCAGUAGCUGGUCUGAGAGGACGAUCAGCCACACUGGGACUGAGACACGGCCCAGACUCCUACGGGAGGCAGCAGUGGGGAAUUUUCCGCAAUGGGCGAAAGCCUGACGGAGCAAGACCGCGUGAGGGAGGAAGGCUCUUGGGUUGUAAACCUCUUUUCUCAGGGAAGAAGCUCUGACGGUACCUGAGGAAUCAGCCUCGGCUAACUCCGUGCCAGCAGCCGCGGUAAUACGGAGGAGGCAAGCGUUAUCCGGAAUUAUUGGGCGUAAAGCGUCCGCAGGUGGCGAUUCAAGUCUGCUGUCAAAGCACGGGGCUUAACUCCGUAAAGGCAGUGGAAACUGAAUAGCUAGAGUGCCGUAGGGGUAGAGGGAAUUCCCGGUGUAGCGGUGAAAUGCGUAGAGAUCGGGAAGAACAUCGGUGGCGAAAGCGCUCUACUGGACGGCAACUGACACUCAGGGACGAAAGCUAGGGGAGCGAAUGGGAUUAGAUACCCC
rnacentral:rRNA from 1 species